UACGAAGGGUGCAAGCGUUAAUCGGAAUUACUGGGCGUAAAGCGUGCGUAGGUGGUUGCUUAAGUCUGUCGUGAAAGCCCUGGGCUCAACCUGGGAAUGGCGAUGGAUACUGGGCGACUAGAGUGUGGUAGAGGAUGGCGGAAUUCCCGGUGUAGCGGUGAAAUGCGUAGAGAUCGGGAGGAACAUCUGUGGCGAAGGCGGCCAUCUGGACCAACACUGACACUGAGGCACGAAAGCGUGGGGAGCAAAC
rnacentral:rRNA from 1 species